rnacentral:rRNA from 1 species
AGUGAACGCUGGCGGUAGGCCUAACACAUGCAAGUCGAACGGCAGCACAGGAGAGCUUGCUCUCUGGGUGGCGAGUGGCGGACGGGUGAGGAAUACAUCGGAAUCUACUUUUUCGUGGGGGAUAACGUAGGGAAACUUACGCUAAUACCGCAUACGACCUACGGGUGAAAGCAGGGGAUCUUCGGACCUUGCGCGAUUGAAUGAGCCGAUGUCGGAUUAGCUAGUUGGCGGGGUAAAGGCCCACCAAGGCGACGAUCCGUAGCUGGUCUGAGAGGAUGAUCAGCCACACUGGAACUGAGACACGGUCCAGACUCCUACGGGAGGCAACAGUGGGGAAUAUUGGACAAUGGGCGCAAGCCUGAUCCAGCCAUACCGCGUGGGUGAAGAAGGCCUUCGGGUUGUAAAGCCCUUUUGUUGGGAAAGAAAUCCAGCUGGUUAAUACCCGGUUGGGAUGACGGUACCCAAAGAAUAAGCACCGGCUAACUUCGUGCCAGCCGCCGCAGUAA